rnacentral:rRNA from 1 species
AGUACCACGUAAAAAGUAGUGAGGGCGCGCCGAGAGACGACGUCCUACCGUACGUCCUGCUCCCAGAUAAAAAGAGAGAGGCUGCUUUCGACACCCCCCCCCGAGCAGUAGAGAAAGAAGCGUAUUCCAUCUUCUCUUAGUGAGCGCACACACGUCGAGGAAAAUUUAGGAGACCACUGGGGCGAAAGUCCUGAUCCUCAGCACACGCUCGCUAGAAGCGACGCACGUCUUCCGGGUAUGUUAACUUCGGACAGGAAUAGGUAGUAUAAAUGACGGUACUAUUAUAAGGUCCCGGCCUAACCUACGUGCCAGCAGCCGCGCUAAUACGUAGGGACCAAGCGUCGUUCGGAUUUACUGGGCGUAAAGGCCGCGUAGGCGCCAACUCCACGUCAUCUGUGAAAUCUCCGGGCCUUAACUCGGAACCGGUCAGAUGAUACUGCUUUGCUAGAGUGCAGAACGGCAAUCGGAAUUCUUGGUGUAGCGGUGAAAUGCGUAGAUAUCAAGAGGAACACUGAGUUGAAGACGGGUUGCUGGGCUGACACUGACGCUGAGGCGCGAAAGCUAGGGUAGCAAACGGGAUUAGAUACCCCGGUAGUCCUAGCCCUAAACGAUGAAUACUUGGUGUCUGGAGUAUCAAUUCUCCGGGUGCCGUCGCUAACGUUUUAAGUAUUCCGCCUGGGGAGUACGCACGCAAGUGUGAAACUCAAAGGAAUUGACGGGGACCCGCACAAGCGGUGGAGCAUGUGGUUUAAUUCGACGCAACGCGAAGAACCUUACCUAAACUAGAAUGCCUUUGAUCGUUCCCUAAUAGGAAUUUCCUGAGCAAUCAGGCAAAGUGCAAGGUGCUGCAUGGCUGUCGUCAGCUCGUGUCGUGAGAUGUUGGGUUAAGUCCCGCAACGAGCGCAACCCUUAUUGACAGUUGCCAACAGGUAAUGCUGGGAACUCUGUCAAGACUGCCGUUGAUAAAACGGAGGAAGGUGGGGAUGAUGUCAAGUCAUCAUGGCCUUUAUGUUUAGGGCUACACACGUGCUACAAUGGUUGGUACAAAACGUCGCAAUCUCGCAAGAGGGAGCUAAUCGCAAAAACCAAUCUCAGUUCGGAUUGAAGUCUGCAACUCGACUUCAUGAAGUUGGAAUCGCUAGUAAUCGCAGAUCAGAACGCUGCGGUGAAUACGUUCCCGGGUCUUGUACACACCGCCCGUCACAUCACGAAAGUAGGUUGUACUAGAAGUAGCUGGGCUAACUCGCAAGAGAGGCAAGUACCACGGUAUGAUAUAUGGCC